rnacentral:rRNA from 1 species
GAGUUUGAUCUUGGCUCAGAUUGAACGCUGGCGGCGUGCCUAACACAUGCAAGUCGAGCGGUAACAGGUGUAGCAAUACAUGCUGACGAGCGGCGGACGGGUGAGCAAUAUUUGGGAAUCUGCCUAUUAGUGGGGGACAACCCGGGGAAACUCGGGCUAAUACCGCAUACGCACUACGGUGGAAAGCCGGGGACCGCAAGGCCUGGCGCUAAUAGAUGAGCCCAAAUCGGAUUAGCUAGUUGGUGAGGUAAUGGCUCACCAAGGCUACGAUCCGUAGCUGGUCUGAGAGGACGACCAGCCACACCGGAACUGAGACACGGUCCGGACUCCUACGGGAGGCAGCAGUGGGGAAUAUUGGACAAUGGGCGAAAGCCUGAUCCAGCGACGCCGCGUGGGUGAAGAAGGCCUGCGGGUUGUAAAGCCCUUUCGGUGGGGAAGAAAAGCCUCGACCUAACACGUCGGGGUCUUGACGUAACCCCAUAGAAGAAGCACCGGCUAACUCUGUGCCAGCCGCCGCGGUAAC